rnacentral:rRNA from 1 species
CAGUGCCGCGGUAAUACGGAGGGGGCUAGCGUUGUUCGGAAUUACUGGGCGUAAAGCGCACGUAGGCGGCUUUGUAAGUUAGAGGUGAAAGCCCGGAGCUCAACUCCGGAAUUGCCUUUAGGACCGCAGAGCUAGCAGGUGAGAGAGGUGAGUGGAAUUCCGAGUGUAGAGGUGAAAUUCGUAGAUAUUCGGAAGAACACCAGUGGCGAAGGCGGCUCACUGGCUCAUACUGGACGCUGAGGUGCGAAAGCGUGGGGAGCAAACAGGAUUAGAUACCCGCGUAGUCCCUGUCUCUUAUACA